rnacentral:rRNA from 1 species
UCGAGAAUCUUCCGCAAUGGACGAAAGUCUGACGGAGCGACGCCGCGUGCGGGAUGAAGGCCUUCGGGUUGUAAACUGCUGUCAGUUGGGAGGAAAUCCAUGGUGGCUAUCCAUCAUGGUUGACCGAUCUUCAGAGGAAGUCCGGGCUAAGUUCGUGCCAGCAGCCGCGGUAACACGAACCGGACGAACGUUAUUCGGAAUCACUGGGCUUAAAGAGUCCGUAGGCGGCUUGGUAGGUGAGGUGUGAAAGCCCACGGCUCAACCGUGGAAUUGCGCUUCAAACCACCAGGCUAGAGGGAGAUAGAGGUGAGCGGAACUGAUGGUGGAGCGGUGAAAUGCGUUGAUAUCAUCAGGAACACCGGUGGCGAAAGCGGCUCACUGGGUCUCUUCUGACGCUGAGGGACGAAAGCUAGGGGAGCGAACGGGAUUAGAUACCCCCGUAGUCC